rnacentral:lncRNA from 1 species
GCUUUAUUCAUAAAAAAAGGGGGAUUUUCAACACUUCGGACAGUAACUCAAAAAGGCUUUCACCAAUGUCCAUGAAACUUUGGUGAAUUGUUUAUAUCUAUUGAUGUAAGCUCCCUUUCAAUUUUUAUAAAUUUCAGAUUUUAAGUUUUGGAUUUAUGGGGCUUUAUUCAUAAAAAAGGGGGAUUUUCAACACUUCGGACAAUAACUCAAAAAGGCUUUCACCAAUGUCCAUGAAACUU